AUUGAACGCUGGCGGCAUGCCUAACACAUGCAAGUCGAACGGAAACGAUGGGAGCUUGCUCCCAGGCGUCGAGUGGCGGACGGGUGAGUAAUACUUAGGUAUCUGCCCAAUAGUGGGGGACAACUCGGGGAAACUCGAGCUAAUACCGCAUACGACCUACGGGUGAAAGUGGAGGAUCUUCGGACUUCACGCUAUUGGAUGAGCCUAAGUCGGAUUAGCUUGUUGGUGAGGUAAAGGCUCACCAAGGCGACGAUCCGUAGCUGGUCUGAGAGGACGAUCAGCCACACUGGGACUGAGACACGGCCCAG
rnacentral:rRNA from 1 species